rnacentral:rRNA from 1 species
GACGAACGCUGGCGGCGUGCUUAACACAUGCAAGUCGAACGGAAAGGCCCUGCUUUUGUGGGGUGCUCGAGUGGCGAACGGGUGAGUAACACGUGAGUAACCUGCCCUUGACUUUGGGAUAACUUCAGGAAACUGGGGCUAAUACCGGAUAGGAGCUCCUGCUGCAUGGUGGGGGUUGGAAAGUUUCGGCGGUUGGGGAUGGACUCGCGGCUUAUCAGCUUGUUGGUGGGGUAGUGGCUUACCAAGGCUUUGACGGGUAGCCGGCCUGGGAGGGUGACCGGCCACAUUGGGACUGAGAUACGGCCCAGUCUCCUACGGGAGGCAGCAGGGGGAAGUAUUACACAAUGGGCGGGAGCCUGGUGCAGCGACGCCGCGUGCGGGAUGACGGCCUGCGGGUUGUAAACCGCUUUCGCCUGUGACGAAGCGUGAGUGACGGUAAUGGGUAAAGAAGCACCGGCUAACUACGUG